rnacentral:rRNA from 1 species
GACGUAGGGCGCGAGCGUUGUCCGGAUUUAUUGGGCGUAAAGAGCUCGUAGGCGGCUUGUCGCGUCGUCCGUGAAAACUUGGGGCUCAACCCCAAGCUUGCGGUCGAUACGGGCAGGCUCGAGUUCGGUAGGGGAGACUGGAAUUCCUGGUGUAGCGGUGAAAUGCGCAGAUAUCAGGAGGAACACCGGUGGCGAAGGCGGGUCUCUGGGCCUUACCUGACGCUGAGGAGCGAAAGCGUGGGGAGCGAACAGG